GGCCCGCUGCGCGGUUCGUCAGGCAGCUAAUGUCCCUGGGGCGAUAAUGAUCCUCAUGGGAGCUGUCCCUGUCGGGGCCCUGGCCCCGACACAUGGUGCCCACCUGUUCACACAGGCCACGGAGGACUUACAACGCCAACGGCCGAGGCGGCACCG
rfam:Magnetospirillum moscoviense strain BB-1 NODE_41_length_34039_cov_102.233_ID_5942, whole genome shotgun sequence.